rnacentral:rRNA from 1 species
CAAGAGCGUAUGUAAAAGUUGUUGCAGUUAAAAAGCUCGUAGUUGAACCUUGGGUUUGGUUGGCCGGUCCGCUUUUUUGCGAGUACUGGAUUCAACCGAGCCUUUCCUUCUGGCUAACCAGUCGUUUCGGCGGCUGGCGAACCAGGAUUUUUACUUUGAGAAAAUUAGAGUGUUCAAAGCAGGCAUUAGCUUGAAUAUAUUAGCAUGGAAUAAUAGAGUAGGACGUUAUGGUUCUAUUUUGUUGGUUUCUAGGACCAUCGUAAUGAUUAAUAGGGACGGUCGGGGGCAUCAGUAUUCAGUUGUCAGAGGUGAAAUUCUUGGAUUUACUGAAGACUAACUACUGCGAAAGCAUUUGCCAAGGACGUUUUCAUUAA